rnacentral:rRNA from 1 species
UACGGAGGGUGCUAGCGUUGUUCGGAAUCACUGGGCGUAAAGGGCGCGUAGGCGGCCGCCCGCGUCGGACGUGAAAGCCCGGGGCUCAACCCCGGAACGGCGUCCGAUACGGGGCGGCUCGAGGCCGGGAGAGGGGGGUGGAAUACCGAGUGUAGAGGUGAAAUUCGUAGAUAUUCGCAAGAACACCAGUGGCGAAGGCGGCUCACUGGCCCGAUACUGACGCUGAGGCACGAAAGCGUGGGGAGCAAACAGG